rnacentral:rRNA from 1 species
GGGUUGUGAGGUUAAGCGACUAAGCGUACACGGUGGAUGCCCUGGCAGUCAGAGGCGAUGAAGGACGUGCUAAUCUGCGAAAAGCGCCGGCGAGGUGAUAUGAACCUUUGACCCGGCGAUGUCCGAAUGGGGAAACCCAGUGUGUUUCGACACACUAUCGUUAACUGAAUACAUAGGUUAACGAGGCGAACCGGGGGAACUGAAACAUCUAAGUACCCCGAGGAAAAGAAAUCA